rnacentral:rRNA from 1 species
UACGUAGGGGGCGAGCGUUAUCCGGAAUUACUGGGCGUAAAGCGCACGCAGGCGGUUCGCCAAGUUUGGAGUGACAGUUGUCGGCUCAACCGACAAAGGACUUCAAAAACUGGUGAACUUGAGGACGAGAGAGGAACAUGGAACUCCAGGUGUAGUAGUGAAAUGCGUAGAUAUCUGGAAGAACACCAAUGGCGAAAGCACUCUGCUGGGCCGACACUGACACUGAGAGACGAAAGCUAGGGGAGCAAAUGGG